rnacentral:rRNA from 1 species
AACCAGAAGGCAAAAUGAAAGUGAAGGCACGGCCGCCGUGCUGAGGUGAGAGCUGUCGACGGCAGCACAUCAUCGACCGAUCCCAUCCGCACCCCAGCGGUGUGGCGGGAUUCGAGUAAGAGUGUACCUGUUGCGACCCGAAAGAUGGUGAACUAUGCCUGAAUAGGGUGAAGCCAGAGGAAACUCUGGUGGAGGCCCGUAGCGAUUCUGACGUGCAAAUCGAUCGUCAAAUUUGGGUAUAGGGGCGAAAGACUAAUCGAACCAUCUAGUAGCUGGUUCCCUCCGAAGUUUCCCUCAGGAUAGCUGUAGCCCGAAGCAGUUUUAUCAGGUAAAGCGAAUGAUUAGAGGUAUCGGGGAAGAAACUUCCUCGACCUAUUCUCAAACUUUAAAUAGGUAAGAAGUCCGACUUGCUCAACUUGAAGCCGGACACAGAAUGCUGGGUUACCAGUGGGCCAUUUUUGGUAAGCAGAACUGGCGAUGCGGGAUGAACCGAACGCCGAGUUAAGGUGCCAAAGUCGACGCUCAUCAGAUCCCACAAA